rnacentral:rRNA from 1 species
GCGAACGGGUGAGUAACACGUGAGUAAUCUGCCCUUCACUCUGGGAUAAGCACCGGAAACGGUGUCUAAUACCGGAUACGACACUCUUAGGCAUCUGAUGAGUGUGGAAAGUUUUUCGGUGGGGGAUGUGCUCGCGGCCUAUCAGCUUGAUGGUGGGGUAAUGGCCUACCAUGGCGUCGACGGGUAGCCGGCCUGAGAGGGUGACCGGUCACACUGGGACUGAGACACGGCCCAGACUCCUACGGGAGGCAGCAGUGGGGAAUAUUGGACAAUGGGCGGAAGCCUGAUCCAGCAACGCCGCGUGAGGGAUGACGGCCUUCGGGUUGUAAACCUCUUUCAUCACCGACGAAGCCGUAAGGUGACGGUAGGUGGAGAAGAAGCACCGGCCAACUACGUGCCAGCAGCCGCGGUAAUACGUAGGGUGCGAGCGUUGUCCGGAAUCAUUGGGCGUAAAGGGCUCGUAGGCGGUUUGUCGCGUCGGGAGUGAAAACACCGGGCUUAACUCGGUGCUUGCUUCCGAUACGGGCAGACUAGAGGUAUGCAGGGGAGAACGGAAUUCCUGGUGUAGCGGU